rnacentral:snRNA from 1 species
AUACUUACUUGGGCGGGAUUAAUCGAUGAUUAGGAAUGUCGAUGACCUAGGAAGGCCACCUCCAUUGCACUUGGAAGGGGGGUCUCCCUAGCAUCUUCCAUUGAGGAGAGUGCACGUCAUAAUUUGUGGCAGCAAAGGCUUGCUUUCGCGCGACCUGCA